GAAGCCUGUUCUGCCAUU
rnacentral:miRNA from 1 species